rnacentral:rRNA from 1 species
AGCCUGAUGCAGCGACGCCGCGUGAGGGAUGGAGGCCUUCGGGUUGUAAACCUCUUUCGCCAGUGAAGCAGGCCUGCUCCUUGUGGGUGGGUUGACGGUAGCUGGAUAAGAAGCGCCGGCUAACUACGUGCCAGCAGCCGCGGUAAUACGUAGGGCGCGAGCGUUGUCCGGAAUUAUUGGGCGUAAAGAGCUCGUAGGCGGCUGGUCGCGUCUGUCGUGAAAUCCUCUGGCUUAACUGGGGGCUUGCGGUGGGUACGGGCCGGCUUGAGUGCGGUAGGGGAGACUGGAACUCCUGGUGUAGCGGUGGAAUGCGCAGAUAUCAGGAAGAACACCGGUGGCGAAGGCGGGUCUCUGGGCCGUUACUGACGCUGAGGAGCGAAAGCGUGGGGAGCGAACAGGAUUAGAUACCCUGGUAGUCCACGCCGUAAACGUUGGGCACUAGGUGUGGGGGGCCUUUCCGGGUCUUCCGCGCCGUAACCUAACGCAUUAAGUGCCCCGCCUGGGGAGUACGGCCGCCAAGGCUAAACUCAAAGGAAUUGACGGGG